rnacentral:tRNA from 4 species
CGGGGCGUAGCGCAGCCCGGUAGCGCACCUGCUUUGGGAGCAGGGGGUCCCAGGUUCGAAUCCUGGUGCCCCGA